rnacentral:lncRNA from 1 species
AACACAUCAUCCCUGAUCUUUCUGAAUUCUAUUCUUGGAUGUUCGUCCAACAGAUUUGACCAAAAAAUACAGAAUUUGAUUGCAUAAAUAUUAUGUAGAAAAUGAUUAGGCUAUUUAUUAGACCAGAUGAAAUAUGAGAUUCUGAUGUUUUCAAACUCAAAGCCGGUCAAGUCGUGCUGCGCGGGUCAGGGGGUCUUAAUACCCGCACCCACCCGACCCGUGAUGAGAGGCAACCCGCAGAAAUAUGCUUUAAUCAUCCGGCCUGGUUUACUUCUUCAUUUACCGGAACGAUCUGCACCUUCUGCACCUUCUGCAUCUUCUGCACCUUCUGCAUCUUCUGCACCUUCUGCACCUUCUGCACCUUCUGCACCUUCUGCAUCUUCUGCACCUUCUGCACCUUCUGCACCUUCUGCACCUUCUGCACCUUCUGCACCUUCUGCAUCUUCUGCACCUUCUGCACCUUCUGCAUACACCUUCUGCACCUUCUGCAUCUUCUACACCUUCUGCACCUUCUGCACCUUCUGCACCUUCUGCACCUUCUGCACCUUCUGCAUCUUCUACACCUUCUGCACCUUCUGCACCUUCUGCACCUUCUGCACCUUCUGCACCUUCACCUUCUGCACCUUCUGCACCUUCUGCAUCUUCUGCAUCUACACCUUCUACACCUUCUGUACCUUCUGCAUCUACACCUUCUACACCUUCUGCAUCUUCUGCACCUUCUGCAUCUUCUACACCUUCUGCAUCUACACCUUCUACACCUUCUGCACCUUCUGCACCUUCUGCACCUUCUGCAUCUUCUGCACCUUCUGCAUCUUCUACACCUUCUGCACCUUCUGCACCUUCUGCACUUUCUGUACCUUCUGCACCUUCACCUUCUGCACCUUCACCUUCUGCACCUUCUGCACCUUCUGCAUCUACACCUUCUACACCUUCUGCACCUUCUGCACCUUCUGUACCUUCUGCAUCUACACCUUCUACACCUUCUGCACCUUCUGCAUCUUCUGCACCUUCUGCAUCUUCUACACCUUCUGCAUCUACACCUUCUACACCUUCUGCACCUUCUGCAUCUUCUGCAUCUUCUGCACCUUCUGCAUCUUCUACACCUUCUGCAUCUUCUACACCUUCUGC